AGAGUUUGAUCCUGGCUCAGGACGAACGCUGGCGGCAUGCCUAAUACAUGCAAGUCGAACGCUUUUGUUUCACCGGGUGCUUGCACCCACCGAAACAAAAGAGUGGCGGACGGGUGAGUAACACGUGGGUAACCUGCCCAUAAGAGGGGGAUAACAUCCGGAAACGGAUGCUAAUACCGCAUAUUUCCAAUUGUCUCCUGACAGAUGGAAAAAAGGUGGCUUCGGCUACCGCUUAUGGAUGAACCCGCGGCGUAUUAGCUAGUUGGUGAGGUAAUGGCUCACCAAGGCGAUGAUACGUAGCCGACCUGAGAGGGUGAUCGGCCACACUGGGACUGAGACACGGCCCAGACUCCUACGGGAGGCAGCAGUAGGGAAUCUUCCGCAAUGGACGAAAGUCUGACGGAGCAAUGCCGCGUGAGUGAAGAAGGUUUUCGGAUCGUAAAACUCUGUUGUUAGAGAAGAACAAGGAUGAGAGUAACUGCUCAUCCCCUGACGGUAUCUAACCAGAAACGCCACGGCUAACUACGUACG
rnacentral:rRNA from 1 species